rnacentral:rRNA from 1 species
UACAGGGGGGGUAAGGCGUUGUUCGGAAUUACUGGGCGUAAAGCGCAACGUAGGCGGCUUUGUAAGUCAGAGGUGAAAGCCUGGAGCUACAACUCCAGAACUGCCUUUGAGACUGCAUUCGCUUGAAUCCAGGAGAGGUGAGUGGAAUUCCGAGUGUAGAGGUGAAAUUCGUAGAUAUUCGGAAGAACACCAGUGGCGAAGGCGGCUCACUGGACUGGUAUUGACGCUGAGGUGACGAAAGCGUGGGGAGCAAACAGG